ACAGAAGAUUGGCAGUCAAAUUUGUCCCUUGUUCAUGGCUAGCAUUCACAUGAAUGGUGGUUGUUCCUUUUCAGAGAAAAAGAUUUAUUUCUGUCUAAAAUCAGGAUGGAAGAGUGAGUAGAGAAGAGAGGAAUAGAGAGACAGAAGCAGAAGAAGAGAUGAAGCACACCUUAAAAUUUUCUUACUUUUCAACUGGCAUUGCUGGUGCUGGAAUCAUAGGCAUUUUCUCUGGAUAUCUCGGAGGUCAAACGGGAAAUGCCCAUACAAUCCCUUUCAAGGUCUGCACAUUCUUCAUGCUGGCCACCUUUGUAUCUGGAGCUGCUAUGCUGCUUCUCACGUUCCUCCAUCUUAGCAGCCGCAUCUGUAUUAAAAUCUUCAGAAGCCUCAAGUAUAUAACUUUGGGGUUUUUAACCCUUGCAAUGCUUGAUAUUUCCUUUCUUUUCCUAAGGAUUUUUGCCAUUCUUGCCUUUGUUCCAACAUUGUUUAUAGUGAUGAUUGCAUUCUUUAUGGCUUUAUGCCAAAAUGGGCUCCCAUGGAGUCAUCACUAAGGUAACAAUGGCAUGUCAUUCCAUCAUUUAUCCUAAGCUGUCUGAAACAUUUGGAUGCUGUGGAUUGUCGUUCUCAAUCCUAGCCUCUUGUAACUAUGUAAAUUAGUAUGUAAAUAGAUCAGUUACCCAAAAGGAUUCAUGAAGAUUAUAUUAUGAUUAUUUUUGUACUAAUAUCAUUGUUGUAUUGUCUGCUGUCAUUGGAAAACAGGGAAAAAUAGAGAAACUAUAAUAGCAGAAUGCUUACUUUUGGG